GCACUUUGGCGUACAGCAGCCUAGCUUGCUCCGAAGGCAAAGGUCACACGUUCGAAUCGUGUCGGGUGCGCCA
rnacentral:tRNA from 2 species